CCCAAUACUCUGCAAGCUGCUGUGAUCAUCAAUGUCACUGAUGCUGGUUGUGCUGAUAUCGUCCACUUCUCCAUGGGAGAACUCUGUGCUUUCAACAUCCACUUCAAUCUCUUCUGCAAAGAAAACGACAUACACGCAGACAACUGUUCAAAUACAGCAGUCAAGUUCAAAUGCCACAAGAAUCACCUGAAUCCACAAUCACAACCCCUUUCCUCAACUUAAGCAAGACUGACCAACAACUGAGGCAGAAAGACAUGACAAAGCCCACAUCCUUUGCUUGACAAAUACAGAGACUCAUUCAAUGGCAAAGCGAAGAGAAAAGUAACACAAAGAGCACAAUAAAAGGAAGGAAUCAUUUGCCACUUUCUCAAAUUUUCAAGAGAGGUCAGUCUUCAUCCUGAUGCAUCCCUUUUUGUAGAUUCACAGAUUCUAAGGUUAGAAGGGCCCACUGUGGUCAUCUCAUCUGACCUCCUGCACAACACAGGCCAUAAGACUUCCCUAAUUAAUUCCUGUUUGAGCUAGAGUAGAUCUUUUCAAUAAGUAUUUUAAUUAAGCUGGACGCAUGUAGAACACCUACCUCGCUC